CGGAUUUGCAUUUUUUCAAAAUUUGAAUUCUCGCUAUAACGGAAUCAAGGCCAUUUGAAGAAGAAGAAGAAGAAGAAGGGCCAUUUAUAUAACCCUUUCUCUCAUUUUGAAACCCUAAAAUUCUUCUUUUCGCAACUUGUCUCUAGAAGUCUCGCAUCAAUGCUUUUUUCUUUUUCCGGCGAUCCAACACUAGAAAUGGCGUUGGCUAAGGAAGAUAAAGAAUGUUCUGAUUCGUCAUUUUCACUGGUGGGUGAUGGUGGUGGCUGGUAAUUGAAGAUCGUUUCAGGUCUUCAUUGCUUGAUGAAAAAGAAACAUAUAUCCGCCUAAACUGUAAAUUUGAUUUCAAAUAAGCAUCUAAAGUUUUUCUAUGUUGACGUGGAGUUGUAUGGGAAGCUCAUUGUGGAGAAUAUGAAUAUAGUCAAUUUAGUUCUUGCUGAAGAACGUAUCAGUGGUGAGUUCUCCUACAAAUUAUAUCCUCUAGUUUUCGUCUUCCUGAAAUAUGUGUUUUUUUUGUGUGCUGAUUAUUUAGUUCGUUGAUGAUAAUAAUGUAUUAGUGUUGUUUUGGUUCAUCAUAGUUACCCGUUUCAGUAUAGAAAACUAACCUUGAAGUACUGCUAAUCAAAGGAAGCAGCUCUUAGGAUCAGCUAUGUACGGCAAACCCUAUGAAUGAAGAGGUAAAUGGUAAUUUUCACUUCCCCCUAUUUUAUUGACCUCACUCUUAAUAUUGUAUGUGUCAGUAAUCUGCGAAGUUCAUAUAAGUGUGCCUAGAAUCAGAUCAGUUCAUACUUUGGAAAAUGGGGUGUGAAGGCAUGCGGGUCUUGACGUAAAAAAUCAUCAUGGCCUGUCAAUCAACUGGAAUAUGAUGAAUACUGCUCAAGCAGCGGCUUAUGGAGUACCAUAUAGAAAAUUUAUAUGAAGGGACGAUUCAAGGAAAAAGUUACAUAUGGAAAGAAGUUGAGAUAUUGAGAAGUAAACCCUGUUGGUACAAAGCACCUUAGUGCUUCAUUCAUUUUUUCCCUCUGAUUAUUAGUGUGUGCCACUAAAUAUGGAGCACUUUGAUAGCGUUUGCAAGAUGGCAAAGGAUUUGUCUACAUAAUACUGUGCAAAUUUUUCUUUGGAAGAAGAAAUAGAAGUAGACAAGUUAGUGGAAAUCUUGGUCUGGUUGUUGUGUGCAGUUCCUGGUUGGAUGAGAAAAAAGUGCAUGUAUGGUUCUGCAACAAGUCACUCACAUAUCUUCGAAUGCCAAAAAGUUUCUUAAGUAAUGGGUCAUACUUUGCAUUAUAGACACUUGUGAUCGAGUUGCUGAUAUAAAGACUCGAGGCCCUCUGCUAUGAAGUGUCCUAUUGCUUUCUGCGAAGCAAUUGGUUCUGGAUUUGUUUUCGAGAGGCUUUACAAAACAUCAAAGAGCAACAGAAUUCCAAGGUUCUUAGUGAAGGCUUGGUAUUGAUGGUUCUGCUGUUGAUGACUUUGGUUUCUCAUUUUGAAUCUUUAGGAUUUGAUAGAUUCUUGUAAAGAUCUUGGGAUGCAAUCUAGCACAGCUACCACCAGGAAUGCUACAAUUAAACUUUUGGGUGCUUUUCACAAGUUUGUUGGCUAAGAAUGCAAAUUUUUACUACAUCAAAAUGGUUUCUUAAGCCUGCACUUAUUGUUGAAUAUGAGAACCCCAUUUGAGCUUCAAAGAGAAGGUAUGAGUAGUAAGAUUACCCCUGUCAUUUUAAGGGAUUUAAAACUCCUAACUGGAAGUUGCUUUACAAUUUGGAAAUCUUCUAGGUGCGAGUGGAGUCAACUGGAGUUGUAAAUAAAAUUAUAGAAGAGGCUAACAAACAUAUCAAACCAAAAAGAAUCGGUAUGAGAUUCCUUACACAGCUCUAGUAUACGAGAAAAUGGGAGCAGAAGGACGUACAAAUCUUUUUGGACAAAUCAACAGUUGUGAUAAAAUCAAGCGAAAGAUGCAUCUCCAAGAUCUUGAGAGUCAGUAGACAAGAACCCAAUAGUUGCCUGAAAAAUUCAGACCAAAUUUGUUCAAGAAUGGUUGGGCUAGUGACAAAAGAUGUUUCAAGAUUUCAAAAUCGACUUCUAGUGGUUCCUAUUGAAGCAAGGAAACAGAACAAGUUAGAACAUUUGCAUGGAUUUAAUGCGAAGUAAAGAAUCGCAUUUUCAAAGAGUUGGGAGAGCCAUACUUUUUCUUAAUACUUCAUACUAAGGGUCGUAAAGACAAAUAUGUGCCUAGUCGAGACAAUUGAAGAGUCAGGUAUAACCCCUCCAACUCUCCUCCCCACUCAAACGGACAAACCAAACACAAACAACAACAACAAACUUGACUACCACUCAACACAAAAUAACACUAAACGUAAAUAACAAGCACGAAACACAAGAUAAACCGAACAAACUCCACACUCUAACCAUAAACUUCACACUCAAACCAUAAACUUCACACUCUAACCAUAAACUUCACACUCAAACCAAAAACUUCACACUCAAACCAAAAACUUCACAUACAACGAAACACAAGAUAAACCGAACAAACUUCACACUCAAACCAAAAACUUCACACUCAAACCAAAAACUUCACAUACAAACCAAAAACUUCACAUACAACGAAACACAAUACAAAAAUGAACAAAAACUCUACACUCAAACCAUAAAACUUCAUGCCCAACGAAACACACGACGAAAACUUCACAUGCCACUGAACACAAUAUAAACAUCGACAAAAACAAACAAAAUUCAACAAAACCAUAAACUUCACACUCAAAUCAUAAACUUCACAUGCCAUGAAACACAAUACAAAAAUAAACAAAAACUCUACACUCGGACGAUAAAACACAAUUCAUGCCUAACGAAAAAAAAACUCCACGAACUUCAAAUUUCGCAUGUCACUAAACACAACAUAAAAAUCGACAAAAAUAAACAAAACUCGACAAAUUCAUAGUCACCCGAAAAACAAAAAUGAACAAAAACUCUACACUCAAACCAUAAAACUUCAUGCCCAACGAAACACACGACGAAAACUUCACAUGCCACUGAACACAAUAUAAACAUCGACAAAAACAAACAAAAUUCAACAAAACCAUAAACUUCACACUCAAAUCAUAAACUUCACAUGCCAUGAAACAUAAUACAAAAAUAAACAAAAACUCUACACUCGGACGAUAAAACACAAUUCAUGCCUAACGAAAAAAAAACUCCACGAACUUCAAAUUUCGCAUGUCACUAAACACAACAUAAAAAUCGACAAAAAUAAACAAAACUCAACAAAUUCAUAGUCACCCGAAAAACUAGAGUUUCACGGAUAACGACAACUAUUUUUAAUUUACGAGUGUUAAAUGCUGUCUAUAUAUAUUAUCAAUAACAAUCCAUAGAAAUUUAUUAACGAUUUUAAAUGUUACUUACUCGGUGAAUUUUUUGUGUUAUUUUUCCUAUUAAAAAUAUUUCUUGUUCACUAUGCAACAUAUCUUGUCGCAAUUUCAUUUUUUCACCUUUCUUAAUUUCCCGAACUGUAUAUACAAGGCUAUAUCAUGUAAAUGACAUUAUUAGUGUGUCUCUUCUGCAAUGUAUGAAGAUAAUUUUAGUACACAAUAUUUCUCCA